UACGUAGGCAGCAAGCGUUGUUCGGAGUUACUGGGCGUAAAGGGUGCGUAGGCGGUUGUUUAAGUUUGGUGUGAAAUCUCCCGGCUCAACUGGGAGGGUGCGCUAUAGACUGUGGGGCUAGAGUGUGGGAGAGGAAAGUGGAAUUCCUGGUGUAGCGGUGAAAUGCGUAGAUAUCAGGAGGAACACCGGUGGUGUAAACGGCUUUCUGGACCAUAACUGACGCUGAGGCACGAAAGCGUGGGUAGCAAACAGG
rnacentral:rRNA from 1 species